UCGAGAAUACUUUGCAAUACACGGAAGUGUGACAGGGCUAUCCCGAGUGCCAUCCGCUGAGGGAGGCUUUUACCCAGUCUAGAAAGCUGGGGGAAUAAGGAGAGGGCAAGUCUGGUGUCAGCCGCCGCGGUAAUACCAGCUCUCCGAGUGGUGUGGAUGUUUAUUGGGCCUAAAGCAUCCGUAGCUGGCUAAGUUAGUCCCCUGUUAAAUCCAACGAAUUAAUCGUUGGAUCGCGGGGGAUACUGCUUGGCUAGGGGACGAGAGAGGCAGACGGUAUUUCCGGGGUAGGGGUGAAAUCCUAUAAUCCCGGGAAGACCACCAGUGGCGAAGGCUGUCUGCUAGAACGCGCCCGACGGUGAGGGAUGAAAGCUGGGGGAGCGAACCG
rnacentral:rRNA from 1 species